CAAGACAUUAAUUCUCUUUUACACAACCCAUUAUUUGCAGCAAGACAUUUUUCUCUUUUACAACAUAUAUGUAACAUUAUUGUAAUGAUUCAAAUUUAUAACCAGAUCAAUGAUGAAGUUAUGCUAAACCUUCAUCACUUCUGAACAUUUUCAACCCAUAUCCAAAAGGGAACAAGGGAUCAUAGUUAGCAUCUCCAACAUUUAUAGGCAGUUGAUCAGAAGACCUAAACCACGAUACAGGCAAUGUACCCACGAAAUCAUGAUCUCCAAAGAGGCAAUCAGUAAUUCCCAUGCCCUCACUUCCAGGUAGCCAGGCAGCAACUAGAGCAUCUAUCUUCUCCAGAACUUGUGGUUCAAUAACCAAGGGCCUUCCAGAUACAACAACCACUAGAGUAGGG
rnacentral:lncRNA from 1 species